UUAUUUUCAAUAUCAAUACAUUAAAUUAAUAUUAAACCAUAAACCCACAUCGGACAGGAUCCUCUGUGUCCGCUUUCUUACCUUCUGCUUUCAUCUAGGCCUUUAACUUAAUCUAAUAGGAUAGAAAAUAAAAAAAGUGAAAGAAGAUUAAUCAAUUAAAAUCAAAUCCAACUGCUAACAUUGCACAGGAGAGAUCACAUAAUAAAAAAUAUUGGAGGGAUCUGUUUCCCACACCUAGUGAUAGGAUGAACCAAAUCCACUUAUUUCUUGUCACAAACAUAAUUUCUUGUAAUCACAAAACAAAACAAACAAAAUCAAAAACAUAAACCUAAAAAGUUGACAGAACAAAGAAAGAUCACAAACUUUGAAAGACAAUUGAACACCUUCAACGAUAUUUCAUCUAAACACAUACAAUCUUAAACAUCUUUAACGAUUCUUCAUCGAAAUCCAAAAAUUAAAAAGUAUAAACUGAACUCAAAACGUAAAAAAAAAAA
rnacentral:lncRNA from 1 species